GACGAACGCUGGCGGCGUGCCUAAUACAUGCAAGUCGAGCGGACAGACUAGGAGCUUCUUCCUCUUUCGUUCUCGUCGGACGGGUGAGUAACACGUGGAUCACUUACCUUUAACACUCAGAUAACUUCUAGAAACCGGAGCCAAUACCGAAUUAUAUAUUGAACCGCAUGGUUCUAUAUUUAAAGACGGUUUUUCUUUCACUUGUAGAUGUUUCCGUGCCGCACUAUCUGGUUGUUGAGGUAACGGUUUACCAAGACGACGAUGCGUAGCCGAACUGAGGGGGGGAGGGGCCACGCUGGAACUGAGACAGGGUCCAGACUCCUACGGGAGGCAGCAGUAGGGAAGGGUAAGAAAGGGGAGAAAGCGGAACGGAGCAACGCCGCGUGAGUGAUGAAGGUCUUCGGAUCGUAAAACUAAGUUAUUAGGGAAGAACAAAUGGGUAAGUAACUAUGCACGUGGUGACGGUACCUAAUGAGAAAGCCACGGCUAACUACGUG
rnacentral:rRNA from 1 species